CUCCAAAUCUUUCUUUUCUGAGCCUGCCUUUUCCCUACCCUUGUGAUAGGGUCUCUACAGCCCUGCCCCAUUGGGCCAACCUACCCUUUAUCCUGCUGCAUACCCUGUAUCCAUUUCAGCUUCAGUUCUCCCAGAGUUUUAGGUUCUGUCCUGUCCUUGUCCCUACCUGGCUCUACCUCCACCUACAUCUCUCAAAAUUUAGCUUUGUCCCCCUCCUCUGCAUUUUACUCUGUAUUAUAAAGCUUGUCAGGUCCCGGUAUUCUAACCAAGUCUUAAGUUCUGUGUGUCUGGCCACCUCUGACCCUUGCCUGGCCUCUGCUGUUGGGCCCUAUUCCCGCUGCUCCCAUCCCAGCUGCUCUCCUACUGGGUUCUGGUCCAGGGUCCCCGCUGCUCCUCUCCGUCUCAGGGUCAGUUCUGGCUUCUCUACGCUUGGGUCCCAUCCCCAGGAUAGGCUAGGGUGUGGGGUGUUAAACCUCGGGCCCUGAGUCAGAUUCCACUCUCUUGGUGACUCAGUCUGGGCUCAAGGGCAUUUGGGCACUGUCUGGGAGCCAGGAGGUGUUUGUGGGAUGAAGGUGGCAGGUGCGGGCGUGCCCCCCGCGGGGUAGCGCGGGCUUGGGGGAGGGCAAGGAGGGAGGGGGCAGAGGCCUGGCAACAAGGAGGGGCGGGUCACGGCAGGGAGGAAGGAGAGGAGGAGGAGAAGGGAGCCGACACUGAGGGGCUCUGGGAGCCCACGGAGGUCCCGGAGGAGGUGAUGGGGUGGAGUCUGAGAAGCUGGGCCCGAGGGAUCGGGGUCCUCACCUCGCUGUGGCCUUCGUCAGCUCCCGGGUGCCGGCCGCGCUGUCCGAGGCAGGGGGGUCCGGCCGCACCAGCACCGCCUCCCCGCAGCCCUCCCCCGACAGCCCCGCCCCGCCCCGACAGCUCGAGUGCUUAGCUGCUCCUUGUGCAAGCACCCGCCUUCAGGUGGUUUGGGCCCCUUACCCAACCGCCUUGCUUAUCGGGGGUCCGCGCUCUGCUUUCUCCCAGAACAAAAAGUGGGGACUCAGAAACUUCUGGGAAAGGGACUAAGAUCGAGGGCCAGGUCAGAGAUGGAGGUGGAGAUGUCAGUUACUCAUGCUGUCAUUGUCUGAAGCAUCUAAGGGACAGACUUUGGCCUCAGUCAGGAACACACAGGCCCAAGGAUGCCCAGAGGAUCCCACAUCAAGGAAAGAAGCAGCAGUGUCCUUCUCACCAUCAAGAUCCAACUGCUCGGGACUGGUGAGAUGGCUCAGAGGUUAAGAGCACCGACUGCUCUUCCAGAGGUCCUGAGUUCAAUUCCCAGCAACCACAUGGUGGCUCACAACCAUCCCUUAUGAGAUCUGGUGCCCUCUUCUGGUGUGCAGAUAUACAUGGAAGCAGAAUGUUGUAUGCAUAAUAAAUAAAUAGAAUCUCUAAUAGCAAAACAAAAAAC
rnacentral:lncRNA from 1 species